AGCGUCAUUUAUCUACCAUUUGGCUAGGGUUCGAUAUAACAUACAAACUACUGAGUUUUAUAAUUAUUGAAUAUUUCUUUUGAUUGAAAUCAUAAAAAUAGAUUUCCGCUGGGGUCCUUAAGAGAAGUUGGGAAAUCUUGAAAGUGAUCGUAUAAACCACAUUUGUUGACGUCAUUGUACUGUAUAUCUUGGCACGUAGCAGGUAAAUCGAUUGAAGGAUGUGUGGUCCGGCUUCCGGUUGGUCCAAGGUAGCCCUUGUGGUGCUAAUUGUUGGAAUAUCAAUACACAUUGCUGGCUGGGCUACUACCAAUUGGAUGACUUAUAGUACAACUAACAAUGCUCUAGAAACCAAUAUUGGUUUGUGGAGAAUGAUUGCAUGUACUUCAGGUUCAUGUAAAGACACUUCAGUGGCCUCACAGUAUGAAACAGCUACGUUCAAUGCGGUAAGAGCGAUGGAGACCAUCACAUUCUGUUUAGCCUUCUUCACUAUGGUCCUC
rnacentral:sRNA from 1 species